rnacentral:rRNA from 1 species
GAUGAACGCUGGCGGCGUGCCUAAUACAUGCAAGUCGAGCGAACGGACGAGAAGCUUGCUUUUCUGAUGUUAGCGGCGGACGGGUGAGUAACACGUGGAUAACCUACCUAUAAGACUGGGAUAACUUCGGGAAACCGGAGCUAAUACCGGAUAAUAUUUUGAACCGCAUGGUUCAAAAGUGAAAGACGGUCUUGCUGUCACUUAUAGAUGGAUCCGCGCUGCAUUAGCUAGUUGGUAAGGUAACGGCUUACCAAGGCAACGAUGCAUAGCCGACCUGAGAGGGUGAUCGGCCACACUGGAACUGAGACACGGUCCAGACUCCUACGGGAGGCAGCAGUAGGGAAUCUUCCGCAAUGGGCGAAAGCCUGACGGAGCAACGCCGCGUGAGUGAUGAAGGUCUUCGGAUCGUAAAACUCUGUUAUUAGGGAAGAACAUAUGUGUAAGUAACUGUGCACAUCUUGACGGUACCUAAUCAGAAAGCCACGGCUAACUACGUGCCAGCAGCCGCGGUAAUACGUAGGUGGCAAGCGUUAUCCGGAAUUAUUGGGCGUAAAGCGCGCGUAGGCGGUUUUUUAAGUCUGAUGUGAAAGCCCACGGCUCAACCGUGGAGGGUCAUUGGAAACUGGAAAACUUGAGUGCAGAAGAGGAAAGUGGAGUUCCAUGUGUAGCGGUGAAAUGCGCAGAGAUAUGGAGGAACACCAGUGGCGAAGGCGACUUUCUGGUCUGUAACUGACGCUGAUGUGCGAAAGCGUGGGGAUCAAACAGGAUUAGAUACCCUGGUAGUCCACGCCGUAAACGAUGAGUGCUAAGUGUUAGGGGGUUUCCGCCCCUUAGUGCUGCAGCUAACGCAUUAAGCACUCCGCCUGGGGAGUACGACCGCAAGGUUGAAACUCAAAGGAAUUGACGGGGACCCGCACAAGCGGUGGAGCAUGUGGUUUAAUUCGAAGCAACGCGAAGAACCUUACCAAAUCUUGACAUCCUUUGACAACUCUAGAGAUAGAGCCUUCCCCUUCGGGGGACAAAGUGACAGGUGGUGCAUGGUUGUCGUCAGCUCGUGUCGUGAGAUGUUGGGUUAAGUCCCGCAACGAGCGCAACCCUUAAGCUUAGUUGCCAUCAUUAAGUUGGGCACUCUAAGUUGACUGCCGGUGACAAACCGGAGGAAGGUGGGGAUGACGUCAAAUCAUCAUGCCCCUUAUGAUUUGGGCUACACACGUGCUACAAUGGACAAUACAAAGGGCAGCGAAACCGCGAGGUCAAGCAAAUCCCAUAAAGUUGUUCUCAGUUCGGAUUGUAGUCUGCAACUCGACUACAUGAAGCUGGAAUCGCUAGUAAUCGUAGAUCAGCAUGCUACGGUGAAUACGUUCCCGGGUCU